rnacentral:rRNA from 1 species
UCGCCUGUUUAUCAAAAACAUGUCCUCCUGAAUUAUAAUAUGAGGUCUGACCUGCCCACUGAGAGUUUUCUUGAAGGGCCGCGGUAUUUUGACCGUGCAAAGGUAGCAUAAUCAUUAGUCUUUUAAUUGAAGGCUAGAAUGAAUGGUUGGACGAGGUAUUGACUGUCUCGGUACAAAUGAGAUUAGAAUUUAACUUUUGAGUGAAAAGGCUUAAAUGGUUUUAGAGGACGAGAAGACCCCAUAGAGCUUUAUAAUAAGUUUUUUAUAAUUUAUUUAGUAGUUUUUUUAUUAUAUUGGACUAAUUAUUUUGUUGGGGUGACAGGAAGAUUUAUUAAACUCUUUUUAUAGAUGAAACAUUUAUGUAUGAACUAUUGAUCCAUUUUUAAUGAUUAUAAGUCUAAGUUACCUUGGGGAUAACAGCGUAAUCUUUUUCGAGAGUUCUUAUCGACAAAAAGGGUUGCGACCUCGAUGUUGGAUUAAGGGUAAUUUUGGGUGUAGAUGUUCAAAGUUUAGGUCUGUUCGACCUUUAAAUCCUUACAUGAUCUGAGUUCAAACCGGAGA